UACGAAGGGGGCUAGCGUUGCUCGGAAUCACUGGGCGUAAAGGGUGCGUAGGCGGGUCUUUAAGUCAGGGGUGAAAUCCUGGAGCUCAACUCCAGAACUGCCUUCGAAACUGGCGAUCUUGAGUCCGGGAGAGGUGAGUGGAACUGCGAGUGUAGAGGUGAAAUUCGUAGAUAUUCGCAAGAACACCAGUGGCGAAGGCGGCUCACUGGCCCGGUACUGACGCUGAGGUGCGAAAGCGUGGGGAGCAAACAGG
rnacentral:rRNA from 1 species